rnacentral:rRNA from 1 species
GUGGGGAAUUUUGGACAAUGGGCGCAAGCCUGAUCCAGCCAUGCCGCGUGAGUGAAGAAGGCCUUCGGGUUGUAAAGCUCUUUCGGCCGGGAAGAAAUCGGCGACUCUAACAUAGUCGCUGGAUGACGGUACCGGACUAAGAAGCACCGGCUAACUACGUGCCAGCAGCCGCGGUAAUACGUAGGGUGCGAGCGUUAAUCGGAAUUACUGGGCGUAAAGCGUGCGCAGGCGGUUUUGUAAGACAGAUGUGAAAUCCCCGGGCUUAACCUGGGAACUGCGUUUGUGACUGCAAGGCUAGAGUACGGCAGAGGGGGGUGGAACUCCUGGUGUAGCAGUGAAAUGCGUAGAUAUCAGGAGGAACACCGAUGGCGAAGGCAGCCCCCUGGGCCUGUACUGACGCUCAUGCACGAAAGCGUGGGGAGCAAACAGGAUUAGAAACCCGUGUAGUCC